UAGGGAAUCUUGCGCAAUGGGCGAAAGCCUGACGCAGCCAUGCCGCGUGAAUGAUGAAGGUCUUAGGAUUGUAAAAUUCUUUCACCGGGAAGAUAAUGACGGUACCCGGAGAAGAAGCCCCGGCUAACUUCGUGCCAGCAGCCGCGGUAAUCGAAGGGGGCUAGCGUUGCUCGGAAUUACUGGGCGUAAAGGGCGCGUAGGCGGAUGUUUAAGUCGGGGGUGAAAGCCCGGGGCUCAACCUCGGAAUUGCCUUCGAUACUGGACAUCUUGAGUACGGGAGAGGUGAGUGGAACUCCGAGUGUAGAGGUGAAAUUCGUAGAUAUUCGGAAGAACACCAGUGGCGAAGGCGACUCACUGGCCCGUUACUGACGCUGAGGCGCGAAAGCGUGGGGAGCAAACAGGUUAGAUACCCUGGUAGUCCACGCCGUAAACGAUGAGUGCUAGUUGUCGGCAUGCAUGCAUGUCGGUGACGCAGCUAACGCAUU
rnacentral:rRNA from 1 species